UAUAAUUAAAUUAAAAAAAUACUAAAGUAUUAAACAAAAACACCUCAAACCUAAUAACUCCAUGUGUCGAAAUCCAUAAUCUCUGGUGCCGCCGUCCGCUUCCCCUUAGGCAGCGAACGAAAACUAGGGGUUGAUUUUGGUAAUUUUCUUAAUUUUCCUUGUCUCUUUUUUGUUUGUGUGUUGAUUUAGAGCUAUGUAAUUAGGACACCGUCAAUGUUUUCUAAUAUCUCUAUCCGGUGAUUUUUUUUCUAAUACCAAUUCAAAAAUUCCCUUUCAUUUAGUGAUUCCCGCUCUCGUUUUACUAUUCUUUUGAUCUUUCAAGCGGGUAUAAUCGUAUGAGCCAUAUAGGUGAUUUUUUGUAUUAUAAUAUCUUGAAUUGAGGUUAUCUGUGAGAUUACAAUCUCGAUUUUUGUAUGUUCUCCAAAUCUUAUGGGGUUUUUAUUCUUUAGGGCUUGCAAAAUGGUUUGUUUGAGAUGUAGAUGAUGUUGUAGUGGGAUUUAGAAGCAACAAGACAAUUGUCUUUGAAGGCGUGAACAUACAGUAGUAGGAAAAGAGAGCCAGGGUAGAUGUUUCAAAAUCAAGGAGCUUCUUCAAAAAGUUGUAGUCUUAUUGCAAUAUUGUGUUGGAGAAAUAUUGAAUGGCAAAACCAGCAACAUUGAACCAGGUAAUUAGAAUUGUAGUCUACUAUUGAAUCCUAAUUUUGAGAUAUCUUUGUUUUCUAAUUUCUAUUUGUCUUUAAAAUUUGAGUUCACAAACAUAUAGUUAAUCAGUAGAAGUGAUAAAAGAGUUAUAUGAGAGACAUUCUGAGUUAACAGGUGUAAAUUUUGUAGAGGAUGGAGGUUAGAGUUGUUGAGAAAUUCAAGGAUAUACCCUAGUGUUUUUAGAAUAACUGACAGAGAAAGAGUAGUAAAAAUUUAUAUUAAAAUAUACUAUAAUUUUCUCUUUAUGAACUUUAAAGUUAUCCUAUCCUAAGAGGGAAUAUUGAAAAUCAGCCCAGUUUAAAGGAGGGCAAUUCUCAGUUCAAUUAAAUACAUAUUAUUUAGACUUAUAUAAUAUUUUUGGUUGUUAAAAUUCUCAGCUCAAUUAAAGGCUUUCUACAAACUUUUCCAUUCUGUGUCUCAUCUACAUUUGCUUGCAUUAGAUGUGAAAUGAGCUACUGGCACUCUUGGCAAUUGUGUUGGAGUUUGAUUCAUUUUUUUGAUAUGUUGGACUCUAGUCACACUGGUUCAGUCUUAUAAAUAAGGAUCAGGGGAUGGGACAUAAGAAGAUAAGAAACUUUGUGGUUGGGUAGCCAAAAUUAAGUAGGACCAGGUUUAGCAGCAAAAGUUUUCUCCUUUUGGAUGCUAGUAUUGAAUAUAAAUUCUUGAAGCAAAGGCGAACUUGACCAAUUGAGUACUUGAGGCAGAAUGAUUAAACUUUAAAAUAUGUACAUUAUGCAUUUUGCAAGUUUGCACCUCUAGGUGUUCUAAUCCUUAGAAUAGGUUAGGUGAGUGCACCCUUGUCAAAUUGAGAUUUUGUGAUUGAUAUGAGUUGUUUAUUGAACGAUCUAAUUUUUUGAUCCUUUUAAACAACUAUAUUUUUCUUCUUGAAGUAAAUGGAGACUAUUAAGUAUUAAUUUUUAGCCUGCACUCAUAGAAUAUGUCAAGUUAUUUAUUCCUUUACCAAUUUCUUUAUAUGUUCUCUUGUUUUUUUUUCUAGUUUCCUGUGUUUGGUAAACAAAAAAGCUUUCUUGUCAAUGGAAAUUCAGUGGGGAUUCACCUCAUAAAAGCUUUCUCUUGUUUGCUCUGUUGUGAUAUCAUUAUUACUUUGGUAGUUUCAGUCAAUUGUGUGUUGUCAUUUUUCUUGGGGUCUUAUUUAUGUAAUUUGGUUGAUAUCUAGAUCUCAAAAUUGUUGAUUAUAAAGUUAACAACAACUUUACUCUUUCAUAUAAUUGAGCUUCUUGAAGAGGCAAUGAAGAAGUCUCUUCUCCUUAAAUUGUUUGGAUGAGUUUAGUCAAUAUCAUAGGCCAUGAGUUUGUGCUUUAGUAACUUGUGUAUUUAGUACAUUCUAGCUUAUAUUUUAUUUAUUAAAUAGGAAUUCAUUGUCAAGCUCUAAUUAUAUUUGAUUACUUGACUAAUUGAGUUGUGAAAGUAUAUAUUGUUACUUGGAAAAUGCAUUUUAUAAAUAAGGAUAAGUUAUUUUAUAUUAAUCUGUAUUUGAAAAAUAUAACAGGGUUAUGUACGAAAAUGACAUGUUUAAAGAGAAGGAACUAUGCAAUAUUCAGCUGCUACUCUCCAUUUAUGUUUUCUUUUAGAUAUUUAAUCCGAUCCUUAUAAUUUUCUAAAGAGAAAUUACUUUUUAUUGUUUACAGGGUUUGAAAAGUUGAGGUUACAAUUGAAAAUGCGAGUUUUGAAGACUUCGUACAAGUUGAGAACAUGGUUAACAAGCAUUUUACUAGGCAGUUAGGAUAAUAUUAUAUAUUUGCCCAGAGAUUGUGUAAACAGUAGGGGUGAUAUAUGCAUCCUGAUUAUAUAAUUAGCAAUGGGAUAUUAAUAUACUUUUGUAAUUAAUUACCAACUUUAUAUUUGUAAAUGCAUAUUUGGAUGUGAAAGAAUGAUUUUGUUGAUAAUUUCGUUUAUGUUCAUGUGAUUAUCUAUAUUGAUAAUUGUAUAAUUUCAAAUAGAAAUGACAGG
rnacentral:lncRNA from 1 species